rnacentral:tRNA from 1 species
CAGAUAUUAGUUUAUAAAAAUUUUAAUUUUGGAGAUUAAAGAAGAGAUUAGUCUUAUAUCUGA